rnacentral:rRNA from 1 species
GACGAACGCUGGCGGCGUGCUUAACACAUGCAAGUCGAACGGAAAGGCCCUGCUUGCAGGGUACUCGAGUGGCGAACGGGUGAGUAACACGUGGGUGAUCUGCCCUGCACUUCGGGAUAAGCCUGGGAAACUGGGUCUAAUACCGGAUAGGAGCCAUUUUUAGUGUGAUGGUUGGAAAGUUUUUUCGGUGUAGGAUGAGCUCGCGGCCUAUCAGCUUGUUGGUGGGGUAAUGGCCUACCAAGGCGGCGACGGGUAGCCGGCCUGGGAGGGUGGACGGCCACAUUGGGACUGAGAUAAGGCCCAGACUCCUACGGGAGGCAGAAGUGGGGAAUAUUGCACAAUGGGCGCAAGCCUGAUGCAGCGACGCCGCGUGGGGGAUGACGGCCUUCGGGUUGUAAACUCCUUUCGCUAGGGACGAAGCUUUUUGUGACGGUACCUAGAUAAGAAGCACCGGCUAACUACGUG